AACGAACGCUGGCGGCGUGGAUAAGACAUGCAAGUCGAACGGGACAGACCGAGUAGCAAUAUUUGGAAUGUUCAGUGGCGAACGGGUGCGUAACACGUGGAUAACAUUCCGGAAAGCGGGGAAUAGCCCAGGGAAACUUGGAUUAAUACCGCAUGUGGCCGCAAGGCUAAAGACGGGGACCGCAAGGCCUGUCACUUUCCGAUUGGUCCGCGGCCUAUCAGCUGGUUGGCGGGGUAAUGGCCCACCAAGGCUACGACGGGUAGCUGGUCUUAGAGGACGACCAGCCACACUGGAACUGAGACACGGUCCAGACUCCUACGGGAGGCAGCAGUGGGGAAUCUUGCGCAAUGGACGAAAGUCUGACGCAGCCACGCCGCGUGAGUGAAGAAGGCCUUCGGGUUGUAAAGCUCUGUCGCCCGGGACGAAAAUUUUGGAGGUGAAUAGCCUUCAGAACUGACGGUACCGGGAGAGGAAGCACCGGCUAACUCCGUGCCAGCCGCCGCCGUAACAC
rnacentral:rRNA from 1 species